UACAAGACUCUUACCUUCCACAAUCUAUUUUGGUUCUGAUGUUAUUAUCACUUAUCUAAAGCUAAGGAAUGAGAUGGAAUUUAUAUCUGCUAUGAACAACAUUAUGUGAAUUGUUAAUUGGUGAGGCUUAGUGCUAAUUUGGCUGGGCACUAUGUGCCAGCUAACAGCUGUAUAGAAGCAGCAAAUGAUGUCUGGAUCUCAGUUCUGCAGUUCAGAUAAUUGAGAAUGUGUGUCAGACAGGACUUGAGAGGAAGUAUAGAUUGGUGGCUGCAUCAAGCCUGGAAGCUCUUCCACUUCUACAAGACCUUGAGCAAUAAAAACAUCAGGGAUUAAGUGUAUAGCAAUACAUAAGGCCAAGGAAUGAUUCUGGCAUAUCCCAUUGAAUUGCAGCCAUGCCCUCCCUUCAAGCAGAAUUAUCUGCAUUUCUAAUUAGGCAGAAUGUGAAGAGAUCUGUCUCCAGAUGACUCCAGCAUGUUCUACCUACUCGGGAUCAGAUACUUCAAAGGGUGAAAAAGGAAAGGAACUAAGUAGAGAAAUAACUGAUGGCAGCAAAACUGCCCUUUGAAUGUCUGAAAAUGACUCAGUGUCCCCACUUCAACUCCACCCUAUCCACAAAACGAUCCAAAGCUGCGGUUCUCCUCUCUGAAGUGGGAUAAUCAACUUAGUAUGUUCACAUUCCCUAUUCAUCAGCACGGAUCCCCACAAGCAGCCUUAAUAAAUGGUGGAGUGUAAAGGAACCCCCAGGUGAUGCAGCAGCAUCCAAUGGCAGAAUAGAGCCCAUCUGUCUAGUCUCACCACAUCAAUUGGUGGGACCUUGGAGUAUGGGCAGGUUUUUGUCACAUACACAAAUUCCCUGCAAAAGCCACCUUCGAACUGUGCUGUGUGGUGUACAGUGAAUAUGCAGUAUCUCCUGUGUGACUUCCCCACAAGCCGCCUUGUCUAGGGGAAUUUCACUGGUUCUGCUGAAUUUGAGGUCCUGACAGUUCUUAAUCAACAACUGGCUGACUCUUUCUGUUCCAAGGGAGAAGGGCUCUUAUGGCAUUGUAUUCAUAUUUGUAUGUUUCCAUAAUCUUGCCAUGUUCUCCUGUGGAGAAUCAGAAGAUGUUAAGAAUCUAAGAUCCAACAUAAAGUUCCAUCUCUGUGCAAUUAAAAUGGCAUAGUUAAAAAAAAUAAGCACCUCAACCACAUUCUGAAAUAUGAUAAUAUCCCGUUGACAUGUGGAUGCUCAAGGUUCCUGUUAUGCAGGCCCAGGAACAGUGAAUCACACCCGGAAAACAUGGAAAAAAGAGAUGUAUUUUGUGGGCCAAAUUUUCAAAUGCAUACAGAGUAAUCAGAUAUUCAGAGUCUGCAUUUGGAUAUUUAAACGGGCUACUGGCUUCAUAAAAUGUGUGCAAGUACCAAUCUCAGGAGCUAAAUGCAGGAUUUGGAUAUCAAUAAUCUGACAGCCACUUUUGCAACCUAAGCAGGCAGAAGGGCUUACGUGUUUCUCUAGUCUUCCACAGCCAGAAAGCAUGUAAAUUAUCAUUUUUUGUAGCAACCUCUGGUUUAAUAAUCAUUUAUUAGCUAACAUGCUUUUACUAUCACAUGGUCUUUAACUAGGGCUUUCACAAAACACUUCAAAUGUUUUAUCUAAGUGAUGCUGCAAAUGCAAUAU